AUACGAAGGGUGCUAGCGUUGUUCGGAAUUACUGGGCGUAAAGAGCAUGUAGGCGGAUUAAUUAGUCAGAGGUGAAAGCCCCGAGCUCAACUUGGGAACUGCCUUUGAUACUGUUAGUCUAGAGACCGAGAGAGGUGAGUGGAAUUCCCAGUGUAGAGGUGAAAUUCGUAGAUAUUGGGAAGAACACCAGUUGCGAAGGCGGCUCACUGGCUCGGUACUGACGCUGAGGCGCGAAAGCGUGGGGAGCAAACAGGAUUAGAAACCCCAGUAGUCC
rnacentral:rRNA from 1 species